AAUUCCGAAAGGAAACAUUCUCUACUAAUUAAGCUGUUUUCAGAUCAGUGCAGCAAACCAGGAAGAAUCAGGCACGGAAGCACAAUUGGAGAUGUUUAUGAAAACGAAAUCCGACUUUAUUAUAAAUGCUGGCCAGGGUAUAAACUUGUUGGUAAUUCUACACUGCGUUGCCUCGAAACUAAGAAAUGGUCUAGCGAAACACCCGAGUGUGAAGCCAUUCCAAAAUGCAAUAUUUACGAUUUGGAAGAACGUUUAUCACCCUAUAAAAUUACUUCAGGAAGAUAUAUAAACGAUGACAUAUUGGAUGGUGAGAACGUCACGCUCUCGUGUUCCAUUGAAAAUUUUGUAUUGGUAGGUCAGAAUUAUGCAAUUUGUUCGCACGAAACGUGGAAAAUCGGAAUAUUUAAAUGCGUGAAGGGAUGUCCUCCUGUUCGUAAACCAGAUAAUUCUUCCCUCAUCAUAGAAGAUAUUCAAGAUGUUUACAAGUUUGGAGAAUUCAUCAGAUUUUCUUGUCCAGCAUCUGAGAAACUUGAUAUUGAAUUGGAAUUAAUUACGUGCCUGGAUAACGGUUGGUCUGACAGUCGAGUGCCAAAAUGUCUUCCUUCAAAUCCCUGAAUCCACGCCAAAAUAAGGUAAUCGGGCCUCCAGUCGCUAAUCUUUCCAUAUCUGGUUUCGGUUUACAUCGAUCUAACUCCGUUCUCGUAAUUAAGGAAGGACGGACGAACAAACGAACAGAGGGACGUUAUUGGGAAUACAUAAGUCUGUAAUUGGAAAAUUACAGCUUAAUAACGAAUUUAAAGUGUUAUUGUGAUGUAUGAGUAUGAAUAAAAUAAUAU